CCUACGGGAGGCAGCAGUGAGGAAUAUUGGUCAAUGGACGAGAGUCUGAACCAGCCAAGUAGCGUGAAGGAUGACUGCCCUAUGGGUUGUAAACUUCUUUUAUAUGGGAAUAAAGUGUUCCACGUGUGGGAUUUUGUAUGUACCAUAUGAAUAAGGAUCGGCUAACUCCGUGCCAGCAGCCGCGGUAAUACGGAGGAUCCGAGCGUUAUCCGGAUUUAUUGGGUUUAAAGGGAGCGUAGGUGGAUUGUUAAGUCAGUUGUGAAAGUUUGCGGCUCAACCGGAAAAUUGCAGUUGAAACUGGCAGUCUUGAGUACAGUAGAGGUGGGCGGAAUUCGUGGUGUAGCGGUGAAAUGCUUAGAUAUCACGAAGAACUCCGAUUGCGAAGGCAGUUCACUGGACUGCAACUGACACUGAGGCUCGAAAGUGUGGGUAUCAAACAGGAUUAGAUACCCCAGUAGUC
rnacentral:rRNA from 1 species